AGUCACUGACAUUAGAUACCCGCGUAGUCCAGGGUGUAAACGCUGCAGACUUGGUGUUGGGAACCCUUCGGGGGUGCUCAGUGCCGGAGAGAAGUUGUUAAGUCUGCUACUUGGGGAGUACGUCCGCAAGGAUGAAACUUAAAGGAAUUGGCGGGGGAGCACCGCAACGGGAGGAGCGUGCGGUUUAAUUGGAUUCAACACCGUAAAACUCACCAGGGAAGACUGUUACAUGAAAGCCGAGAUGAAGACUCUGCUAGAUUUUUCAG
rnacentral:rRNA from 1 species